GGAGGUGUAGCUCAGUCGGUUAGAGCGCCGCCCUGUCACGGCGGAGGUCGCGGGUUCGAGCCCCGUCAUCUCCG
rnacentral:tRNA from 1 species